rnacentral:rRNA from 1 species
UACGGGGGGGGCAAGCGUUGUUCGGAAUUACUGGGCGUAAAGGGCUCGUAGGCGGCCAACUAAGUCGGAUGUGAAAUCCCCAGGCUUAACUUGGGAACUGCAUCCGAUACUGGAUGGCUUGAAUCCGGGAGAGGGAUGCGGAAUUCCAGGUGUAGCGGUGAAAUGCGUAGAGAUUAGGAAGAACACCAGUGGCGAAGGCGACUUACUGGACUGUAACUGACGCUGAGGCAUGAAAGCGUGGGGAGCAAACAGG